UACGGGGGGGGCAAGCGUUGUUCGGAUUUACUGGGCGUAAAGGGCGCGUAGGCGGCAUGACAAGUCACUUGUGAAAUCUCCGGGCUUAACUCGGAACGGUCAAGUGAUACUGUCGCGCUAGAGUGCGGAAGGGGCAAUCAGAAUUCUUGGUGUAGCGGUGAAAUGCGUAGAUAUCAAGAGGAACACCUGAGGUGAAGACGGGUUGCUGGGCUGACACUGACGCUGACAGCGCGAAAGCUAGGGGAGCAAACGGG
rnacentral:rRNA from 1 species